GACGUAGGGCGCGAGCGUUGUCCGGAUUUAUUGGGCGUAAAGAGCUCGUAGGCGGCUUGUCGCGUCGACUGUGAAAACCCGCGGCUCAACCGCGGGCCUGCAGCCGAUACGGGCAGGCUAGAGUUCGGUAGGGGAGAGUGGAAUUCCCGGUGUAGCGGUGAAAUGCGCAGAUAUCGGGAAGAACACCCGUGGCGAAGGCGGCUCUCUGGGACGGUACUGACGCUGAGACGCGAAAGCGUGGGGAGCGAACAGG
rnacentral:rRNA from 1 species